UGUUUGCUUGAUAAAAAUGAUAGUUACUAUCUAAGUUGUAAACCAGUUAUUUACAGGAUAUGUCUUCAAAUUAUUGCAAAGUGUAAUUGUAUUUCCUUAGAGUUAGAACAAUUUCAAGAUGGCGGACUCCGGGCAGCUUGGCAGAAUAACAAUGACAGAUAGUUCUGGUAGUGUCAUGAAGACUAUGGUAGUAUUUUCAAUAGCAAUGUGUAUACUUCCGAUAUCUUCAUAUUUUAUUACAAAAAGUUUUGUAUUUGAAGGUAUAUUUGGUAUGGGUCACCAGAAUAGUUAUU